rnacentral:misc_RNA from 1 species
UCCGGUUUGUCACCGGCAGUCUCGCAUGAGUCCCCAACUGAAUGCUGGCAACUAAGGAUAAGGGUUGCGCUCGUUAAGGGACUUAACCCGACAUCUCACGAUACGAGCUGACGACAGCCAUGCAGCACCUCUACACAGACCUCCGAAGAGGGGGACUCAUCUCUGAGGCUUUCCUGUGCAGUUCAAACCCAGGUAAGGUUCUGCGCGUUGCUUCGAAUUAAACCACAUGCUCCACCGCUUGUGCGGGCCCCCGUCAAUUCCUUUGAGUUUCAGUCUUGCGACCGUACUCCCCUGGCGGAGUGCUUAAUGUGUUGACUUCGGCACAGCAGGGGUCGAUACCCGCUACACCAAGCACUCAUCGUUUACGGCGUGGACUAC